CAUAAACAUGGUACUGAACUCGAUUCGAAGUGGCGAUGGGUUGCAGCGAGCGGCGGAGUGUCGGUGGGAGUCAGUGAGCGGCGUAGCGUCGGUGGGAGUCAGUGAGCGUCGGAGCGUCAGUGGGAGUCAGUGAGCGGCGGUGGUACUGAACUCGAUUCAAAGUGGCGAUGGGUUGCAGCGAGAGGCGGAGUGUCGAUGGGAGUCAGUGAGCGGCGGAGCGUCGGUGGGAGUCAGUGAGCGUCGGAGCGUCAGUGGGAGCCAGUGAGCGGCGGUGGGCGGCGGAGGGUUUGGAUAUAGAGAGAUGGAAGAGAAUGAGAUUUGAGAGAAAAGAGAAACACGAUGUUUGGCUUGAUUGUGGGUGGG
rnacentral:lncRNA from 1 species